rnacentral:rRNA from 1 species
UAGGGAAUCUUCCGCAAUGGGCGAAAGCCUGACGGAGCAACGCCGCGUGAGUGAUGAAGGUCUUCGGAUCGUAAAACUCUGUUAUUAGGGAAGAACAAAUGUGUAAGUAACUAUGCACGUCUUGACGGUACCUAAUCAGAAAGCCACGGCUAACUACGUGCCAGCAGCCGCGGUAAUACGUAGGUGGCAAGCGUUAUCCGGAAUUAUUGGGCGUAAAGCGCGCGUAGGCGGUUUUUUAAGUCUGAUGUGAAAGCCCACGGCUCAACCGUGGAGGGUCAUUGGAAACUGGAAAACUUGAGUGCAGAAGAGGAAAGUGGAAUUCCAUGUGUAGCGGUGAAAUGCGCAGAGAUAUGGAGGAACACCAGUGGCGAAGGCGACUUUCUGGUCUGUAAAUGACGCUGAUGUGCGAAAGCGUGAGGAUCAAACAGG